GCUAAACGCGAAGAACCUUACCUAGGCUUGACAUAUACCGAAAACUCACAGAGAUGUGGGGUCCGCAAGGGCGGUAUACAGGUGGUGCAUGGUUGUCGUCAGCUCGUGUCGUGAGAUGUUGGGUUAAGUCCCGCAACGAGCGCAACCCUCGUCCUAUGUUGCCAGCGCGUUAUGGCGGGGACUCAUAGGAGACUGCCGGGGUCAACUCGGAGGAAGGUGGGGAUGAGGUCAAAUCAUCAUGCCCCUUAUGUCUAGGGCUGCACGCAUGCUACAAUGGUCGGUACAAAGGGCUGCGAUACCGCAAGGUGGAGCGAAUCCCAAAAAGCCGGCCUCAGUUCGGAUUGGGGUCUGCAACUCGACCCCAUGAAGUCGGAGUCGCUAGUAAUCGCAGAUCAGCAACGCUGCGGUGAAUACGUUCCCGGGUCUUGUACACACC
rnacentral:rRNA from 1 species